GAGGAGGCUUUGACAACGAAGGAGCGGCGAGAGUGAGAAGGGCGCGUGAGGGAGAGAGAAGGGCGCGUGAGGGAGGGAGAAGGGCGCGUGGGGAGAGGGUUAAGGUGGAGGGAGAGAGAGGGUUUGGGAGAGAAGAGGGGUGUUGGGUUUGCGGAGAAGAGGGAAGCAGAGGUGGCUGAGCAUGCCAUUGGUGUGGGAUUGGGAUAUUCGCUUGCUCGCUCACUCUGCGAGAAGGAGAGGUUCAAAUGGGAUGGGAAUAGGAUUGGGU
rnacentral:lncRNA from 1 species